rnacentral:rRNA from 1 species
UGGGGAAUAUUGGACAAUGGGCGAAAGCCUGAUCCAGCAAUGCCGCGUGAGUGAUGAAGGCCUUAGGGUUGUAAAGCUCUUUUACCAGGGAUGAUAAUGACAGUACCUGGAGAAUAAGCUCCGGCUAACUCCGUGCCAGCAGCCGCGGUAAUACGGAGGGAGCUAGCGUUGUUCGGAAUUACUGGGCGUAAAGCGCGCGUAGGCGGCGUAUCAAGUCAGGGGUGAAAUCCCGGGGCUCAACCCCGGAACUGCCCUUGAAACUAGUAUGCUAGAAUCCUGGAGAGGCGAGUGGAAUUCCGAGUGUAGAGGUGAAAUUCGUAGAUAUUGGGUGGAACACCGGUGGCGAAAGCGGCUCUCUGGUCCGGACCUGACGCUGAGGCGCGAAAGCGUGGGGAGCAAACAGGAUUAGAUACCCCCGUAGUCC